rnacentral:rRNA from 1 species
AUUGAACGCUGGCGGCAUGCCUUACACAUGCCAGUCGAACGGUAACAGGUCUUCGGAUGCUGACGAGUGGCGCACGGGUGAGUAAUACAUCGGAACGUGCCCGAUCGUGGGGGAUAACGAAGCGAAAGCUUUGCUAAUACCGCAUACGAUCUACGGAUGAAAGCAGGGGACCGCAAGGCCUUGCGCGAACGGAGCGGCCGAUGGCAGAUUAGGUAGUUGGUGGGAUAAAAGCUUACCAAGCCGACGAUCUGUAGCUGGUCUGAGAGGACGACCAGCCACACUGGGACUGAGACACGGCCCAGACUCCUACGGGAGGCAGCAGUGGGGAAUUUUGGACAAUGGGCGAAAGCCUGAUCCAGCCAUGCCGCGUGCAGGAUGAAGGCCUUCGGGUUGUAAACUGCUUUUGUACGGAACGAAAAGACUCUGGUUAAUACCUGGGGUCCAUGACGGUACCGUAAGAAUAAGCACCGGCUAACUACGUG